ACGCUCGACACCUAGGAGGCAGCAGUGGGGAAUAUUGCACAAUGGGGGAAACCCUGAUGCAGCGACGCCGCGUGGAGGAAGAAGGUCUUCGGAUUGUAAACUCCUGUUGUUGGGGAAAAAGAGGAUGGUACCCAACAAGGAAGUGACGGCUAACUACGUGCCCGCAGCCGCGGUAAUCUGAGCGGGCUGGCAAGGC
rnacentral:rRNA from 1 species